rnacentral:rRNA from 1 species
GACGUAGGGUGCGAGCGUUGUCCGGAUUUAUUGGGCGUAAAGAGCUCGUAGGCGGCUCGUCGCGUCGACCGUGAAAACCCGCGGCUUAACUGCGGGCUUGCGGUUGAUACGGGCAGACUAGAGUGCGGUAGGGGAGACUGGAAUUCCUGGUGUAGCGGUGAAAUGCGCAGAUAUCAGGAGGAACACCGGUGGCGAAGGCGGGUCUCUGGGCCGUAACUGACGCUGAGGAGCGAAAGCGUGGGGAGCGAACAGG